GAUUAACGCUGGCGGCGUGCAUAACACAUGCAAGUCGAACGACGAAACUUUAAUGAACCCUUUGGGGAGAAUUAAAGCGGAUUAGUGGCGAACGGGUGAGUAACGCGUGAGUAACCUGCCUUACACAAGGGGAUAGCCUUUGGAAACGAAGAAUAAUACCCUAUAAAACCAUAAAAGCACAUGCAAUUAUGGUCAAAGUGAUAGCGGUGUAAGAUGGACUUGCGUCUGAUUAGCUAGUUGGUGAGAUAAAAGCCCACCAAGGCAACGAUCAGUAGCCGGCUUGAGAGAGUGUACGGCCACAUUGGGACUGAGACACGGCCCAGACUCCUACGGGAGGCAGCAGUGGGGAAUUUUGCACAAUGGGGGAAACCCUGAUGCAGCGACGCCGCGUGAUUUAGAAGGCCUUCGGGUUGUAAAAAUCUUUUGUAUAGGAAGAAAAUGACAGUACUAUACGAAUAAGGUCCGGCUAAUUACGUG
rnacentral:rRNA from 1 species